rnacentral:rRNA from 1 species
AGCAGUCGCCACGGUAAUACGUAGGGUGCAAGCGUUAAUCGGAAUUACUGGGCGUAAAGCGUGCGCAGGCGGUUAUAUAAGACAGAUGUGAAAUCCCCGGGCUCAACCUGGGAACUGCAUUUGUGACUGUAUAGCUAGAGUACGGCAGAGGGGGAUGGAAUUCCGCGUGUAGCAGUGAAAUGCGUAGAUAUGCGGAGGAACACCGAUGGCGAAGGCAAUCCCCUGGGCCUGUACUGACGCUCAUGCACGAAAGCGUGGGGAGCAAACAGGAUUAGAUACCUCGGUAGUCCCUGUCUCUUAUCC